AGCAACCGUAACUAUACACAAAAAUACCAAAGUCAAUAUCAGCAUGUAACGUAGCUAGUUAGCUGUAAAAUCUCCACUAUCACUUUAGGAGUCUUCAAUCGCACCAUGUUCAACCUGGGUCCUGUUUCAGAAAGCCGGUUUAGUGAAAACUCAAGAGUUGAAGGAAACGGAGUUUUCGGUUUGACAAAGCCAGUUGAGCUUAACUCUGAGUCAGUUACUAUGGCAACAUACUAUGUGAAGCUAACCUGCUCGCUGGCAGUUUCUUUUCAACUAACCCGGAGAUUCUCCUCUUCUUUGUUUUAGACAUCCGUGGCGCUUAGCAUAUUUCUAAGGCAACCGUCAGUCGGAUUGUCAGAAAUGUGACUCUUGCAUUGAAACGUUUACUGUACACUUUUGUGGUGUUCCAAGUCACAGACCCACAAGACUCAAACAAGAAUUCCAAAGAAUUGCAGGUAUCAGUCUAAGCAAUCAUUUAUUUAUUAUGAAGCUUUGAAACUUGAAAAACAAAUCAAUUAAUUUGAUAUAUUUUAGGGAUUUCAGGUGUGAUUGGCUUCAUAGAUGGCACUCUUAUUCCUAUCACACCUCCUUCAGUAAAUGAAGGAGAUUAUGUGAAUUGUGAAUAGGAAGUCUUUCCACAGCAUUAAUGUGCAGGUAGGCCUAAAUAGUAGCCUUUAGCAUUCCAAAUGAAAGACACUUCACAAUACAGCUACUGCAGCUAAGAUCAUGUUAUGCAGCCCACAUCAUCAGCAACGUGGAAGCAAAGUGGCCUGGGUCUGUGGCUGACUCGCACAUUUUUAAUGAGUGCGCUAGAUUUGUCCGUGGAGAGUUUGAUGGUUACCUGCUCGGUGACAGAGGGACAGGGUAUAGAUGACCAUUGGGAUGCUCAAGGCCCGGUUCCAGUGCCUUCGUAGGCUCAGGGUCAACCCAGAAAUGGAAAUGGACAUUAUUGUGGCAUGUGUGAUUCUGCACAACAUUGCCACAAUUAGAGGAGAACAAUGUCCUACUCAACCAGUGAACGAUCCUGAGAUGGAAGAGCAGUCAGACACAAUAUGCUACCAUCAUUUCUGAUUGACCCAUCACCUCCCCAGUGUCAAAUAAAUACAUUAUGCCUUUC